CACAAAAAUUGAACCGAAACUCAGCAAAUACUUGCCUCACUGACAUAAUAAAUAUAUUUAUAGAAUGCUAUAAAAUACUACUUUACAACGAAAUAAUUCAAAUCGAAAAUUAUAAAGUCUUUCAUUAGCCUAUGUAAUCCAUGAAGAUGCAUUUCUCUCUAAAGGCGCGUCCAGUGAGGAGAUCUGGGGAGUAAGUGUGGAGCAAAGUGUGGAUCUGUCCUUGAUCAACUCAGUUUUGUUUAUAUUUUGCUUAACCUAUCAUCUUAAAUGACAGAUGUCCUAUUUAUUUAUUUUUCUCUGCGACACUUUUCCUACCGUGUUAACGAAAAAUGUCAAACGAAUUUAGUAUUUUGACAAGAUUAAUAAAAGGCUAUUUUUAGUAAGAUGUACAACUUUUUUUGUACAAACUUUUUUCUCUUUCUGCGACACUUUUUCCUAUUGUGUUGUAAAUAUUAAACGAAUGACAAGACGAAUAAAAUAACAAAUACAAUUUUGUGCAGGCUACACUUUUAUUCGUUAGCCUAUAUCUCUCUUUCAGUAGCGGAAAUUUAAAUGUGAGAUUCUGGAAACGAGAUCUAAAUUUAGUGAGAACGGUCGGGUCAGGAAGAAAUUAUUCUAAUUAAGCGGACAGCGGGUGAACAAAGAGUGAAUAGCGGGAGCGGGUGGGUGAAGGACAAAAAAACCCCAGCGUGUCAACCGUCCCUUUGCACCACCUGGUGGUGAUUUCGCGAACGACUUUCACAUCUGAGUAAUUUGUAUUUGCCGCUGCGGCAUUACCACGGCGGCUAGCGCGGCGGUAAUAGGCAUUCUGGUUGACUACCUACUGUAUACCUUUUUGAAUUUUUUCAUCCGAAAUAUCAGUCGGAGUGCAUUUAAAAGCAAAAGCUUAGGACAGCAUGAUAUGUCGACUUCUAGUAUGUCCUUCAGAGUCAUACCUGUUUCCAAAAAUUAUUAACUUCAGGGCAAUCCCAAAACAUAUGUUUGUAUGUGCAUAUAGAGUUUCUUCAGAAAUUACAAAUAGAAGAUGAGGAAAGCUUCAUUACAAAACAUUUCCAAGGAGUGAGAUACAUCCUAUGAUCCAUUUUGUAGUAAAUUAAUUGAUGAUUAGGAUUUUUUGAAUCAAGUUUAAGAUUGGACCAUAUUGAAUCCCAACAGAUAUUGUUAUUGCGGUUUUCUGUAUCCAUACCAUACACUCUAAAAAAAAAUCCGUAAAAAUACAGUAAAAUAUACCGUAAUAAUUUGAAGGAAUUUUCCGUAUUUGGUUUUUACAGGUGUUUUUCCGUAUUUUUUAAAUUACGCUUUGCAUUGUGGGAACAAGAAGCUCAGUCGAUUAUCGGCACGAAAACAGUGCUUGAGCAGACGCCAUUAUUCACAGAGAUAGUUUCGGUAAAAAUUUCAUUUUAAAGUCGGAUUUCGGGUUUGAGGAACCGUUCUUACACUUCCGUGUUAAAUUAUAUUUUGUUAAAUGUAACAAACUGUAACUUUAACUUAGUUGCUGUCGUCCUUGUUUGCCAAAUGAAUGUAGGAGCCGUCGCAUUUGACAUUUUCAGCACACCGUCACAUCUCACUCGACGUGGAGGUAAGUUACAUUGUGCUCACUUUCAGUUUUAUAAAUAAGUUAUUAACUUUUAAUUGUUAUUGAUGCGGUGUAUUUGUUACUGCGCGUGCCGUAAAGCAUCCGGCAUGUUAACGUUACUGAGGUGAUGUUAAGCAGCUGUGAUAACGUUAAAUCUGAAGUGUCGUACAACUGUGUUUAGAGCGCUGUGUGCCUCCAACAGAAGCUGGCAGAGCAAUUGUCAAGAAAAGAAGAUACCAUUACGACUUUUUUUUUAUUCUUUAAAAGAGAUUAUACAACUAGGUGAAGAUCUGACAUCGCGGAAUUCUUCAAGGAUAACGCAACUUUUCUGCCAAACGAGGUCGUAAUUGCUGCUGUAUUGUGCAUCCCAAGUACCCCCUGCAUUCUUAUCAAGGAUUGCUGUCAUUCAAGAACUUAUCAUUUCCUCCCCCAUUGUGGCUGAGCUACACAUUCUCUUCAUUUUAUUUUAAACAUAAAACAUCCAGAGGAGAUGGCACCUACGUUGGAAUUCAUACAAAUUCUUCCUGUGAAGAAAUCCUGAACGAGGGUCGACGGUUCAGAUGAAGGGAACCUACGUUUCCAAGACUCAUGUAUGAACAACUUUGAGAAUCCAUGUACAAUUUUUUCAAAUCUCAACAUGGAACUUGGACUGAACAUGCAGCAAAAGGAAAAAAGAAGUAGUUUCCCCAAGCUGGCACAUGGCAAGGGAUACUAAAAGCACACAAACACUUGGAGCCCUGUAUAGUUCUCUUAGUUUCACAUUGAAAUGUCAGGCAUGAGUGCAUGAAUCUUUGUUCUUUAUUUUCAAAUGAAACUAGUUUUUUAUUUUUUAUUUUUUUUUCAGUACCAUGUCAAUUGUAGAUGACAGAGUUCACAUUUUUGAUGUGAACUGUCCUUUUAAAUAACAUUUCACUUGACUAUUGACUAGAAGUCUGUAGCAAUUGUUAUUAAUGACAGCCCUGUCUUUGUAUAAAUUUUUUCCCAUGUAUCUGAAAAUGUUUUGAAUCUUGACUGUUUCGCAGUGAAGUUUGUGACCACAAUUUGGUGCAACACCAAUAUUGUACAAGUAGCUGCUCAUGUUUUCUUUUUUCUGCCUGGUGCUGUUUAAAACUAAAACACAUUGUUAAAUUAAUUGAUGUAAUAAUAUUUUUGUCUUCACCUGUUUAAGGCAAAUAAAAGCUACUGAACGCACUUUUAAGAAUGUUUACAUGAGGUAAAAAUAAACCAUGUUCAAUUUGUAUAUAUUGUGCUGGAUUGUGCUGGAUUUGCUACUAAAGAUAGGCCUAUGCUAUAAUUUUUUAGAAAUUUCUGCAAAACGGAUUGUCCGUUUAUGGUACAGAAGAAAAUGUAAAUCUACAUGUAAAUCAAAUUAAUGUUGAAGGAAAUGUCCGUAAAUUUAACAGAAAAUGUCCUGGUAAUUUUCUGCCAGUACAUUAUCCGUUUUUUUAUGGAUUUUUUUUUUUUUUACAGUGUAUAUAUCUCUGUACCAGAUGUUCAAAAUUGAUAACUGCUUAUAGGAGGCUUCCAAACACAACAAAUACAAUGAAUGUAGUAUACCUGUUAUGUUAUAAUUGAGCCGAAACAGUGUUUCACACUCUUCAACGGGAUAUUACAAGAAAUUCCAUAUGAACUUAAAUUUUAAUAUUUGAAGCUUGACCAGUAAUUCGUGGGUGGGGAAAUUAGUAUCAUAGUAGAUAAAAAAAGAAUUAAGAACAGUUUUUUUUUUUAUUUUAUUUUUUUAUGUAGGCUAAUAGCUCAAUAAAAUAAGAAAUCCUCGGUAGUGCAGCUUUAACAGCAAAGAACAAACAGUGGAUGGCUUUAUAAACAGACUGUGAAACAAGCCACUAAGUUUAAGACACUAGGCUACAUAUUCAAUGCUUCUAAUUACUCUUAAUACAUUUUUUUUUAACAGGUUAAGCCGUCAUGGCUACUGUGAAGACAUUCCUUACAAUCCUUAAUCUGCUUCUAUACAGCUGUUUCUGCUCGGACACGAAUUGUAAAGAUGGAGAAUGUAAACCCAUUAAGGACACCACACAAGUAAUCUGCGAGUGCCAUAACAUGUGUCUUGACACAUGCUUAGUUAAACCCUGUGGAGUGAACGCCAAAUGCUCCUCCUCCAAUCGUGACAGGAGCUGCAGCUGUGUGGGGCCGUGGAAAGGAGACCCAUACGAGGGCUGCAGGAGUCAGGACCUCCAGUGGGUUCAGACCAGAGAAGUGCCCAGCAAUGCUGUUCGUUCUAAAACCCAACUUGUGGUGUGCAAAGCCAUUGGACCUGACAGUGGGUGGCACAGUGGGUUUGUAAAGGAUCAACGCUGUAAUUAUGAAUACAACUGGAGCAAGCAUCAGGCCAACAACUAUGAGUGGAAAAAGUGAUGGCCUUGUGGGGAAGCUUUUCAACACGCGAGAUGGCUUUCUGUGCCAUAUUGCCAAGGACAAUACCAGGGAUGAACAUUUCUAUGCUCUGGUUCCACAACCAUGUAUCUGAAGACACUUCACCAUGAUUCACUGUUCAGUGCUCAAGUUUGGAAAAGAGUUUCCAAUGCUCUCCAAACAUUAAGCAUGUGGCACAAACACAUAUGGUUAUUGUUAUUAUUUUUUUUAAAGUUGUUUUGCAGUGGGAUCCUUUUCAGGAUUAUAUAGAGUUCUAAAAAUGUAUUAGACAUUCAAAUUUAAUGAAAGUGGGCGAGUAGAGUACUUUUCCACCAGCAGGAAAUGUUAUGUACAUUUGCAGUUAAAUCCAGUGAGUUCUCUCACGAUCAAUACUAUGAACUCAAUGGCAAAAUUCUUUUGCUGCAAUCAUGAUGUGAACAGUGUGCAAAUUCUAAUGAUAAAUAAAUGCUUCAGUGAAUGUUACUAGAUUCACAAUUGGAUGUCUUGUGUGUCAGAGUUACAGCCCAAAAUAAUGGUUGUGGCUUCAAUAUAUUGUUGUUGUUGACAGAGCAUGUAAUUUUAUGAAGAGAAUAAAAUGAAUUUAGAUACAUAUUUAGACAUUCUCAAAGACAAUGUUUUGUAAAGGUUUAGAUUUUGUUUUUUGUUUUUUAAUGUUGCUUUGAAAUGUCAGUUUUUGUAUUAAUUUUACUACAGUAAAAAUCUGAACACAGAGAAAGAUUUCAUUACACACAUCAUCAAAGUAAAAAAAAAAACGAACAGGAAUGCUUUAUCAGAGAUUAAUCAAUCUGAUUUCAACCUCUUGUUUGAGUCUUCAGGCUCAAUUUUGCCAUAUUGUUACAGCCACGGUUAGUGUGUCUGUUUUGCACUCUUGAUAUUUCAGAGUUUCACCCCUUCAUUGCUGUGGACUUUUUUUGUGCAUCAUGGGUGAUUUGUAGAUUGUACACACAAUAAAAUUCUCUGUAUUGUCA